CCGACUUUGCUCCUCUCGAUUUCAACGGCCCAUUCUCUGUUUCACAAAUAAGAAACCUAAUUUAUCUUGAAAUGAUAAAUUGUUACGCACUAGAUAAUUUUACGUAAAAAUAACAAAUAUGACCGUUACGCACUAAAACUCAAAUAAUUUAAUUUUACGCAAAUAUGACCGUUGUGAGCCUAAUUGAAAUCUCCUUAUUUUGCAGCCUAAUUGAAAUCUCCUUUUUCUUAACCUCGUCAGAAAAAAGGAAACAAUAGAGAGACUUUCCUUUUUUCAAUUGAACAACGUUUGCUUAUAAAUACUCACUCUUCUUCCUUGUGAAAUCAAAAUUCUUCAUCUUUCAUCUUUUUCUCUUUUUUCAUACCUCUAGAUUCUUCCGCAGCAAAGCUCUGCGAUUUUGUUGGUCCGAUCUUUCAUCUUUCAUCGAGACUAAAACUAAAGAAACCAUCUUUCAUCUUUUUCUUUUUUUAAUACCUCUAGUCUCUAGAAACCAUCUUCUGGAUCGAGACCGUACGUGAAGGAGAUGAUCCAUUCAGAGAUUGAAGUGAGCCGAGGAUCAAUGUAACGAUUUCAUCCGUAGGAUUGGUCGGAGGAAGACAUCUCGUUUCGGGAAUGAUCCCCAUCCUCUGAUUCCAGGUCGGCUCUACCCUAAUUUCACCGUUCUCAUGAGAUUACGAAGAAAAACAAAGCGGCAAUAAAGAAGAUUACAGAGACAGGGAGGGUUAGUGAAGGAGAGCACCAAGACGGCGAUGGAUACGAGACGGUGUUUCCAUGGCUGAGAUCAUGAAUACGUCGCCUGAGGAUGAUCUCUGCGUUUCGUCGAUAACACGAGCAUCAAGGUACCUCUCUUAAUUUCCUUUUUUCUCUCUUAAUAAGAUUUUUAUUUCUGUAUUUUAAUUAAUUUUUAAAUAAAAUUUUAAUUUCACUAA
rnacentral:lncRNA from 1 species